GAAAUGCGAUAAUUAAUGUGAAUUGCAGAAUUCAGUGAAUCAUCGAGUCUUUGAACGCACAUUGCGCCCCCUGGUAUUCCGGGGGGCAUGCCUGUCCGAGCGUCAUUGCUGCCCUCAAGCACGGCUUGUGUGUUGGGCUUCCGUCCCUGGCAACGGGGACGGGCCCAAAAGGCAGUGGCGGCACCAUGUCUGGUCCUCGAGCGUAUGGGGCUUUGUCACCCGCUCCCGUAGGUCCAGCUGGCAGCUAGCCUCGCAACCAAUCUUUUUAACCAGGUUGACCUCGGAUCAGGUAGGGAUACCCGCUGAACUUAAG
rnacentral:misc_RNA from 1 species